CAGGCUAACUGCCAGGUUCUAGUCUGUCCUCCCUUCCCCCUUGGGACUUUCCAACUUUGUUUGACUUUCUCACCUCCUGGGGGACUGAAGCCCAGUCAGUCUCUAAGAACCACAAGCUCAGGUGGCCUGGCCCCUCCCUGCUGGCCAAGCUACGCAGAAGGUUCCAACAGAGGGUCCAGACACCUGCUGCCCCUCCCCAAGGCUCCUAGGAGAAGGGGGUAGCCACGGGUGGGAGCAGGAAGCCCUGAGGCCAGGAGAGAGGCCACAGUGCUGGGGCUUGUCCAGGGUCUGUCUCUUUCUGAUGACUUCAUUGUCUUUGAAGCAAAUUCUUAGAACUCCAGUCACACCCAUUUUUUAAAAAAAUAUGUAUAUAAAUAAAAAACCGCAUUCCAGUGGCAAAGAAUCAGCUCCUCACCCACCCACCGGCACUGUUCCCUACCUUGAGAAGCCACCUGCCUGUCUGAGGGUUGGGGCCUACAGAGCCUGAGAGGAAAGAGAAGGUGUCACACCGCUGAGCCUAGGUGUUCUGAGCAGCUUCCAAAAGGGUCCUGUACUGCAAUGACAUUUGGAACAACCCACCCCCUCCCCCCAGAAUACACCCACCUCAGUGGUCUUGGAGCCACUGGGCAGAGGAGACCAGAAGAUAACCCACCCUGUGUGGUGUACAGGAAGACUGCCAGAGGACUUACCCACAUCCUGAUCCACAGAGCUGGGUCUCCCUUUAGCAGGUCAGCUAUGGUAGCCCCAGGGAUGAAGCCUGAUGCAGAGGCCGUUACACGCCCCAUGCUGAUGAGGAAAGACGGAAGGGUUCUAAAUAUCAACUAAAGAGAAUACAAGAUGCGACCUGGAUCACUUGCUCACACAGAUAAGACAAUAACCAACUUGAGAUGCUGACAUGCUGGCAGGCCACCCUGGCAUCCCUUCUCACAGGCUAUGAACGUUCUCCAAGUGACUGUCCCUCCUCUCUGGAUGUACAGAGCCACAGAUACCCACUUUUUUCUCUCUCUGCUCACUGCCCCUCAGUCUUUUCUCUUCUCCUGCUCCCCACACUCCUGCUAAUACCUACAGACCUCAAGAUGAACAAAACAAACGUGUGCUGUGUGCAGAUAAGAUUCCCACACUAGAGGGAGAGAUUCCUUGGAUGUUCACACUGAUGUCCUAAAGACAGAAGGAUCUCUAAGUCACCUCCAGAACAAAUCCAGUUCCUAAGUCAGGGAACCUUCCAGAAAGACGAUCUGUUCAGCAUGGAACUUACUGGGAACUGGUUUUCUGAGUGGGUUGAAACUGUACAUAAUAGGGGAUCAAAGACCAAAAUGAGA